GAGCGGGUCCUGUGCGACGGGACGCUACGAACCAUGUCAGGCGGGGAACCGAGCAGCAUUAAGUAGU
rnacentral:SRP_RNA from 1 species